ACGAACGCUGGCGGCGUGCUUAACCCAUGCCAGUCGAACGGAAAGGCCCUGCUUGCAGGGUACUCGAGUGGCGAACGGGUGAGUAACACGUGGGUGAUCUGCCCUGCACUUCGGGAUAAGCCUGGGAAACUGGGUCUAAUACCGGAUAGGAGCCAUUUUUAGUGUGAUGGUUGGAAAGUUUUUUCGGUGUAGGAUGAGCUCGCGGCCUAUCAGCUGGUUGGUGGGGUAAUGGCCUACCAAGGCGGCGACGGGUAGCCGGCCUGAGAGGGUGGACGGCCACAUUGGGACUGAGAUACGGCCCAGACUCCGACAGGAGGCAUCAGUGGGGAAUAUUGCACAAUGGGCGCAAGCCUGAUGCAGAGACGCCGCGUGGGGGAUGACGGCCUUCGGGUUGGAAACUCCUUUCGCUAGGGACGAAGCUUUUUGUGACGGUACCUAGAUAAGAAGCACCGGCUAACUACGUG
rnacentral:rRNA from 1 species